rnacentral:rRNA from 1 species
ACGCAGCUACCGGAAGUAGACCGCUGGGGAGUACGGUCGCAAGAUUAAACUCAAGGAAUUGACGGGAAACAAACACAAGCGGUGGAUGAUGGGUUUUAUUCGAUGCAACGGAAAAACCUACCUACCCUUACUGGAUGGAAUCCUGAAGAGAUUUGGGAGUGCUCGAAAGAGAACCAUCACACAGGUGCUGCAUGGCUGUCGUCAGCUCGUGUCGUGAGAUGUUGGGUUAAGUCCCGCAACGAGCGCAACCCUUGUCAUUAGUUGUACGAAAGGGCACUUAAUGAGACUGCCGGUGACAAACCGGAGGAAGGUGGGGAUGACGUCAAGUCCUCAUGGCCCUUAUGGGUAGGGCUUCACACGUCAUACAAUGGUACAUACAGAGGGCCGCCAACCCCGAGGGGGAGCUAAUCCCAGAAAUGUUUCUAGUCCGGAUUGGAGUCUGCAACUCGACUCCAUGAAGAUCGCUAGGGUG